rnacentral:antisense_RNA from 1 species
GGAAUCAGACCUAUAUGCCUCGUGUUUAACUGUCCAACUUUUUGGGGUCAGUACAAACCGAGGCCAACGAAUGAACCUAGCAAUUCAGAUCUUAGCCUCUUACCCGCCAUCCGGCAAGGAGAAAGGCUAUGAAG